rnacentral:rRNA from 1 species
UUCCAGCUCCAGUAGCGUAUAUUAUUACUGUUGUAGUUAAAAAGCUCGUAGUUGAAUAUCUGGCGUUGGGAAGCCCUGCCCGCCGCGAUUCGCGUGUGAGUUGUGGGGCGUCCCCGCCAUCCUGUGUGGGAGCCCGCCUACCCUUCAUUGGGCCGGGCGGUGCGAGCACACUCAGUUACUUUGAGAAAAUCUGCGCGUUCAAAGCAGGCACACGCUAUGAAAGCUUCAGCAUGGAAUAACAAGAUAGGACCUGGGUCUCUAUUUUGUUGGUUUCUAGGAUCGAGGUGAUGAUUGAUAGGGACAGUUGGGGGUGCUUGUAUUUAACGGCCAGAGGUGAAAUUCUUGGAUUCGUUAAAGACAAACUACUGCGAAAGCAUUCACCAAGGAUGUCUUCAUCG